rnacentral:rRNA from 1 species
UACAGAGGGUGCAAGCGUUGUUCGGAAUUACUGGGCGUAAAGGGCGCGUAGGCGGCCGCCUAAGUCAGACGUGAAAUCCCUCGGCUCAACCGGGGAACUGCGUCUGAUACUGGGUGGCUUGAAUCCGGGAGAGGGAUGCGGAAUUCCAGGUGUAGCGGUGAAAUGCGUAGAUAUCUGGAGGAACACCGGUGGCGAAGGCGGCAUCCUGGACCGGCAUUGACGCUGAGGCGCGAAAGCCAGGGGAGCAAACGGG